rfam:Salmo salar isolate Sally breed double haploid chromosome ssa22, whole genome shotgun sequence.
AAAUGAACUAAUUGUAAGUCGCUCUGGAUAAGAGUAUCUGCUAAAUGACUAAAA